CGGAUAAAAACAUGUAUAGGUUCAUGUGCUUGCUUUGGGUGUGAGAAUUUGUUAGUUCGAAUCUAACUUAUCCGA
rnacentral:tRNA from 1 species